GCUCCCCUCCCAGCCUCGCCUGAGCCCUCCGGGGCCUGCGCCGGCCAGCGCCUGCCCUAUGAGCGGUUGUCAUCCACUCGGAGCUCCCAGAACACUCGCGGGCCCCCGCCGACUUCAGCUUCAGCGUAGAUGGGUGUGUGAGCCUUUUACAAACCGGGAAACUGAAGCCCUGGGAUUAAGCGCCUUGCCCAGGAUCAUCUGCCAGAUGGAAUUCUACCUCAGAGAGCUGGACUUGAUCUGAGCUCUUCAUUCCCAGUCACACAGCCUCCUCAGGGGGAAUGCAGUCAGAGAAAUGUCUGAAGAGGAGAUCCAAAAGAAGACACUGGCUUCAGCUGUAGCCUGUUUAGAAGGGAAGUCACCAGGGGAGAAAGCAGCAAUCAUACAUCAGCAUCUUGGUCAUCGAGAAAUGACAGAUGCGAUCAUUGAGACCAGGAAGGCCAACCCAGAUAAUUAUGUCCACUGACUGGUUGCAAGUAAAACAGAUGAUGGAAAACUAGUACAGUAUGAGGAUGAUACUUGCCCAAUGGAGAAAAUAGACACCUUACAGUUAAAGUUUCUGAAAGAUGAGCUGAAAGCUGCAAUGGAAGAAAGUCUUCAGAAGCUUCCCCCAUUGCACCAAGAAGUAAAGAUCAAAGUAAAGAAGGUGUAAACGCUGUUCCUGAUUCUCCAUCCAGGCAGCUUCCAGACCAGAUUUCCUUCUAAAGUGGAAACCUCUCAGUUGAAAUAGUUCACAGUAUUAUGCAUCUAUUCAAGACAAGAACCUUUGGAUUUAUCUAAUAUGUGGCCACAUAGGAUGUGGACAAUAUGUGAGUCAACAUGCCUAUAAGCAUUUAGAGGAGACCCAACACACGUAUGCCAUGCAGCCCACCAACCAUCGAGUCUGGGACUACACUGGAGGUGAACACCACUCUUAUUUUCUAAUUUGGAUUCAUUCUGUCUGAAAACAUCUCCAUCAGAACUUUCUCUCAACCUUCUCACAGCUUGAAAUCUUCCUGACAGCUGUGGCAAACUCCAGUUCUCAUGGUGCCCCAUAGGGUGCUAUUUCCUGUGAAUGGCCUGCAUUACACAGGAUAAAGAGAGUUAAUGCUUACACUCCUGCCCUCUCAUUUUUUUUUUAAUCCAAAUCAUUUAAACCACUUUCUAAAGAAAUAUUGCAUGGCAUUUAAUUUGGAUCUGUAAAAACAGAAAUUUUGUUGAAGUUAAAGGCAUAAUUAUGGAGACUUUUCAUUCUGAAGAAACACAUCUUGGUUGACCCAUUCUUUUCUUUAGAUAAUUAUUUCUGUUGACUGGUUUCAAGUAAAACAGAUGGAAAAAUAGUACAGUGUGAAUGUGAGGGUGACACUUGGCAGGAGGAGAAAAUAGAUGCCUUACAGUUAGAGGUAAGAUAUUUUAUUAGUAAUUACUAAAUAACCUAUGUCUACUGCUUUUUACUAUUCUAAGUUGGAAGGUUGUUUGGGCUUUUAAUUUUGCCAUUUGCCCUGCAUGUUAGCUUUUGUUUUUAAGAUCUAUGUUGCUCUGAAGGAUUAUUAAAAUAUUUUUAUUCCGUCUCAUUUUCAGCUUUGAAAGUCUGGGUUUCACUGAGUCGUAUUACUUCCAGUGUCACGUUCCUAGUUGUCUCAGGUUCAGGAUUAGGGUUGUCCUCUGUAGCUGUGAUAAAACUGGAGAUAAGAAUCUUCCUGUCGGCAUCACAGUAGCAGUUGGAAAUUGAGCAAACUUGGUCAGGAUAAGGAACCUCCAAAGCAUCUUUCCAUGCCAAGAAGCUUUUUCACAUACACUGGGCUGGAGCUUAUGAACUGGACCCUUACACAGAUGAAGUCAUGUAGGGGUAUUCAUGUAAUUAAACACAAAAUUAGCACAGUC